rnacentral:rRNA from 1 species
AGGACGAACGCUGGCGGCGUGCUUAACACAUGCAAGUGGAGCGACGAACCAGGGCUUGCCCUGGGGCAGAGCCGCGAACGGGUGAGUAACACGUGGGUUACCUGCCUCGAUGACCGGGACAACCCGAGGAAACUCGGGCUAAUACCGGAUGUGCCCGCAAGGGGAAAGGAAGCUUCGGCCUCCGCAUCGAGAUGGGCCCGCGGCCCAUUAGCUUGUUGGUGAGGUAACGGCUCACCAAGGCUUCGAUGGGUAGCUGGUCUGAGAGGACGAUCAGCCACACUGGGACUGAGACACGGCCCAGACUCCUACGGGAGGCAGCAGUGGGGAAUCUUGCGCAAUGCGCGAAAGCGUGACGCAGCAACGCCGCGUGGGGGAAGAAGGCUUUCGGGUUGUAAACCCCUUUCAGUUGGGACGAAGCUUCGUCGGUGAAUAGCCGGCCGGAGUGACGGUACCUUCACAGAGCACCGGCUAACUACGCGCCAGCAGCCGCGGU